rnacentral:rRNA from 1 species
UGCCGCUUGCGAGGGCGUAUGGUGGAUGCCUUGGCAGACAGUACCGAUGAAGGACGUUUGAGGAUGCGAUAAGCCUCGGGGAGCCUCCAACAUGGCUUCGAUCCGAGGAUUUCCGAAUGGGGCAACCCGCCGGCCGUCAUGGGCCGGCACGGAACCUUGUUGUUCCGGGGGUACGCAGGGAAGUGAAACAUCUCAGUACCUGCAGGAAGGGAUACUCCGUGAGUAGUGGCGAGCGAAAGCGGAUCAGACCAAACCAUGGGCGCGUGAUACCCGUCGGGGGUUGCGUCCGUGGUGUUGCGGGAGCGUGUGUCCCGGUUCCGACGGACCGGGCGGGAGUCAUAAAACGGCUUGCCAGGGGAACAGGCUUGAAGGCCUGGCCGCAGAGGGUGCCAGCCCCGUACCUGGAAGCUUGCCGUCUUCCGAUCACGUGUCCCAAGUAGCGCGGGCCUCGUGGAAUCCCGUGUGAAUCGGCCCCGACCGUGGGGUAAGUCUAAGCAUACCUGUCUGACCGAUAGCGUACCAGUACCGUGAGGGAAAGGUGAAAAGCACCCCGGGAGGGGAGUGAAAGAGUUCCUGAAACCGUGCGCCUACAAUCCGUCGGAGCCUCCUCAAGUGGGGUGACGGCGUGCCUAUCGAAAAAUGAGUCUGCGAGUCAGUGGUGCGUGGCGAGGCUAACCCGUCGUGGGGGAGCCGUAGCGAAGGCGAGUCUCAAAAGGCGUUUUGAGUCGCGUGCCCUGGACCCGAAGCGGGAUGAUCUAGCCCUGGGCAGGUUGAAGCGCGGGUAAGACCGCGUGGAGGACCGAACCCACCUGGGUUGAAAACCGGGGGGAUGACCUGGGGCUAGGGGUGAAAGGCCAAUCAAAUUCCGUGAUAGCUGGUUCUCUCCGAAAUGCAUUUAGGUGCAGCGUCGGUUGAUUGCAUCGCGGGGGUAGAGCUACUGGAUGCUUGCGGGCCCGUAUGGGGUACCAACAGCAGCCAAACUCCGAAUACCGUUGAUGUGUAUUCCGGCAGUGAGUCGGCGGGGGAUAAGCUCCGUCGUCGAGAGGGAGACAGCCCAGAUCGUCGUCUAAGGUCCCGAAGCGUGUGCUAAGUGGGAAAGGAUGUGGAGUCGCAUAGACAGCCAGGAGGUUGGCUCAGAAGCAGCCAUCCUUGAAAGAGUGCGUAACAGCUCACUGGUCUAGUGGUUCCGCGCCGACAAUGUAGCGGGGCUCAAGCACACCACCGAAGACGCGGCAACAGUUUUUUGCUGUUGGGUAGGAGAGCGUCCCCCGAGGGGCGAAGCGGCCGCGCAAGCGCGCCGUGGACUUCGGGGGAGUGAGAAUGCAGACAUGAGUAGCGAGAGACGGGUGAGGAUCCCGUCCGCUGGAUGACCAAGGGUUCCGGGGCCACGUUCGUCGUCCCCGGGUGAGUCGGGUCCUAAGGCGAGGCCGACAGGCGUAGUCGAAUGGAUGAACGGGUGGAUAUUCCCGUACCGGCAGCGAACCGCAAGAGCCGAACGGAUGAGUACUAACCUCCGGUCGCGUGGCGUCGUUCCCUUCGGGGUUCGGGGCGUGCGAUUGUUGGGAAUGUAGUCCUGGUAGGUUAGCGCACAGGGGUGACACGGAAUGGGAGCCGGCCGCGGAGGUGGUUUUCCGUGGUCAAGCACGCAGCCCGUCCCAUAGGCAAAUCCGUGGGACAUGGGGGUGAGGUGCGAUGAUGGGCGCCUUUCAGGCGCGAUAUCCGGUGGUCCAGGCCGUCGAGAAAAGCCUCGGCGCGAGGGGCGUUGCCGCCCGUACCCCAAACCGACACUGGUGGUCAGGUAGAGAAUACCAAGGCGAUCGAGCGAAUCCUGGUCAAGGAACUCGGCAAAUCACUCCCGUGCCUUCGGUAUAAGGGAGACCCCUGAUGGUGAUGGAACUUGCUUCCGGAGCUUUCGGGGGUGGCACAGACCAGGGGGUAGCGACUGUUUACCAAAAACACAGGUGCAUGCGAAGGCGCAAGCCGCUGUAUAUGCACUGACGCCUGCCCGGUGCCGGAAGGUUAAGAGGAUCCGUCAGCCCUCGGGUGAAGCGGUGAAUUCAAGCCCCGGUAAACGGCGGUGGUAACUAUAACCAUCCUAAGGUAGCGAAAUUCCUUGUCGGGUAAGUUCCGACCUGCACGAAUGGCGUA